GAGUUUGAUCUUGGCUCAGGACGAACGCUGGCGGCGUGCUUAACACAUGCAAGUGGAGCGACGAACCAGGGCUUGCCCUGGGGCAAAGCCGCGAACGGGUGAGUAACACGUGGGUAACCUGCCCCGAUGACUGGGACAACCCGAGGAAACUCGGGCUAAUACCAGAUGAGCUCCUGCCACAUGAGUGGCUUGAGGAAAGGAAGCUUCGGCCUCCGCAUCGGGAUGGGCCCGCGGCCCAUUAGCUUGUUGGUGAGGUAACGGCUCACCAAGGCUUCGAUGGGUAGCUGGUCUGAGAGGACGAUCAGCCACACUGGGACUGAGACACGGCCCAGACUCCUACGGGAGGCAGCAGUGGGGAAUCUUGCGCAAUGCGCGAAAGCGUGACGCAGCAACGCCGCGUGCGGGAAGACGGCCUCGG
rnacentral:rRNA from 1 species